GGUGAGUUUCCUGCGUGAUGCGUGAGUUCGCGUGAUGAGUAUUAUAGCCGUUGCGUUCGAAAACCGCGGCGCGCGCUUCAGUCCGUUGUGGCGCGGUGACUCGCGUAGUUCACGUUGAAUUGUUGAGGCCGUAUUGUGAAAUUGUGCAGGAGAGUGCAGGAGCGGGGAAGGCGUGCAGCGAAGGAUGGGUAAGUUAUCUGUGAAGAACUCGGUGAUUGUCGAUGAAGCUUUUAUCAAUCGUAUGCGCCACGGAGAACAGGGAGGUGAACUGAUGGACCAGCAGACAUUCCCCGCCGACGUCAGGAGGUCGGUGCUUACCGUGAACGGCGGAGCAGAUCGAUCGAGAAACUGAGGGAUACCUACCCGGCAUAGUUCGAGAAAGAAGAGUUCUGGCGCGAGUUCGACCGGGUGGUGGGUUGCUCAGCCGGCUCGAAGCCGGCACUGACCACUACGAGGCCUCGAUGCAGCGGCUUAAAUCAUGGCUAAGCCGAGUUCAGGCGGCAUGCUUCCGCACAAAAGGGAACGGCCCAUUGAGCCUCCUCUGCAUCUUGGCGGAGAAGGCGUCAGUGGUGGCGUACACGGGUGACGAAAAUUUGGAUCACCCCCAUCAUAACAAGUCCGAAGGAAACGAACGGUGCCGCCUCAGCGUAGUUCGAACGGAAGUCUUGUGGGGAUCCAUGGUUUGGAAGGGAGUCUUGCUGUGGGCGACGGCGCACUUUGUGCUCAAUCAACAAACGGCGCAUUAAGUGCGAAACACGCUGUGGUUUGUGUGUAUCCAUGUGCUCCAAACACCAUUCAAUGCUGAGCGCCAGCCACCUGUAGCCGCGAAGACUGAGGUCGAGAAGCUGGCAAAAGAGUGAAGCUGAGCUGACGUGGAGUCGAUCCCUCCCCCGACGCAGUUUGGCGUGUGUCAGAAUUGAAAUACAGCGCAAUGCGACCGUUUCUACAAA
rnacentral:lncRNA from 1 species